rnacentral:lncRNA from 10 species
GCAAUACCUGGAGAUUCUAUCGAAAACAGCAAGGCCAGCACAGUGGGGAUGGUUGAGAGAAGCCCUCCUUUCUCCACUGAGGAACUUUGUGCCAAGUCACCUGCACGUCUACCCUACCUACCCCUGACCUGAACUCAGCAGGACAGCACAAAGAAAGCAUGAAGAACUUUGCUGCACUGCUUUUGGAAAAUAUGCUAACCCCUAGCAUAACCAAUCCAUCUUAAGAAUGAAACAGCAGCGAUUGAUGGAAAAGAGUUGUACAAUUCCGGGGCGCUCAAAGUGAUGGAAGAAGCUAUUGAGGAUGAUGUAAGUGUCAGGUUAGUUUUUCUAGGACUUAGACUCUGAGAGGGAGAUGUACAUGCAGGAGGUUUACUAGGGAGACUUUAGAGUCCUUACCUGUUGGGGAUAAAGGCAGAGUUGAACUGAAAUACCGGGCCUCAGCCUAUCCCACAGGGAUAGCUCUGGAGCUGGAGUGGCCCAAGGGAAGGCCUUCCUUGACUAGUCACUGGAUGCAGGCUGUCCCUGAGGAGGGUGAGACCUUGGGUGGGGAGCAUCUCUCCAGCUGAGUGCAAUGCCUGGCCACUCAGCAGCGAGUCAUGACCCACCAACCUUCCUAACAUCUGGGGGCAUGAGUGUUUCCACUCUGAA